CCUACGGGUGGCAGCAGUAGGGAAUCUUCCACAAUGGGCGGAAGCCUGAAGGAGCAAAGUAGCGUGCAGGAUGAAGGCCCUACGGGUUGUAAACUGCGUUUAUACGGGAGUAACGCGCCUUGAGUGUAUGUCUUUGCAUGUACCGUAUGAAUACUGACCGGCUAAUUCCGUGCCGGCUGCCGCGGUAAUCCGGGAGGUCCGCGGGUUGUGCGGAUUUAUUGGGUUGAACGGAAGCGUAGGCCGGAUGGCCAGCUUGCUGUGAAAUGUCCGGGCUCAACCCGUGCCGUGCAGGGCGUACUGGGGGGCUGGAGUACGGGGAAGGAAGGCGGAAUUCGUCGUGUAGCGGUGAAAUGCGUAGAUAUGAGGAAGAACCCCGAUGGCGAAGGCAGCUUGCUGCACAGGAACUGACGCUGAGGCUCGAAAGCGAGGGUAGCGAACAGGAUUAGAUACCCCAGUAGUC
rnacentral:rRNA from 1 species